rnacentral:rRNA from 1 species
GACAGAGGGUGCAAACGUUUGUUCGGAAUUACUGGGCGUAAAGCGCGUGUAGGCUGCUCGGAAAGUCGGAUGUGAAAGCCCUGGGCUUAACCCAGGAAGUGCACUCGAAACUCCCGAGCUCGAGUCCUGGAGAGGAAGGCGGAAUUCUCGGUGUAGAGGUGAAAUUCGUAGAUAUCGAGAGGAACAUCGGUGGCGAAGGCGGCCUUCUGGACAGUGACUGACGCUGAGACGCGAAAGCGUGGGGAGCAAACAGG